rnacentral:tRNA from 1 species
GCCACAUUGGCUUAGUGGCAGAGCGUCUGCCUUGUAAACAGAAGGUUGCUGGUUCGAUUCCAGCAUAUGGCA